CAGAAAUUCACCGACAGGCAUUCACUCACUGACACACACUCACACAGACACUCACUGACAUACACUCACUGACAGACAUACACUUCCUCAGUGACAUACAGACACACACACUCACUGACAGACAUAUACUCACUCACAGAGAGACAGACAGACACACAGACACUCACUGACAGACACAGACACUCACUGACAGACACACAGACACUCACUUAGAGACACACAGACAGACAGACACUCACUGAUACACACACACAGGCAUACACUCAGUGACACACUCACUGACAAACACUCAAACACUCACCUCCAUGGGAUCCAGUGUGGGGCAGCUCCUCACUCCUCCCGCCUGCCGUUUAGUAUGCCUGGACCCAAUUGACGUCAUAUUCCGGCUCCCGGCAUCAAAGAGGGUGCGUAAGGGAGGAGUGAGAGGCUGCAAGAACAGCCUCCAUCGCUGCCUUCUCCUUCC